rnacentral:lncRNA from 1 species
UGAUGUACUCACUCCCUGUUUACUGAAGCUGAGUGGCAGUGGGACAUGUUCAUGUAUAUAGAUAAUAUUCAAAAGUGUUAGCAUUUACAUACUUUGACUUUGCAUUUUUUAUUUGCCCAAGAUAAAGCUGUUAAUGGAAUGCAACUUCAAAUUUGAUAAGUCAAUACAGAUGUUAUUCUAAACUUUAGCAUCCUUUGUCUUUUUUCUAAUCAUAAAAGUCUAAUCUUUGAGGUUGUAUAUGCCUACAGUGAUAUGUUCAAAGUACAUGUGUAACAGAUAAGCAUAAUAUGAUUUGUGUAUUAUAUGUAUAAUUUAUAUAUGAUAGCUAUAAAUACCUAAAUUAACAGAGCAGUACCCUAAAUCUGGAGAGAAAGAGCAUGAAUCGCAAGUGCUUGAGCCCUGCGGCUCUUCUGGGGGGUGGGAGGGAAAUUCCACCCACAUAAAGCCAGGGUGAUCUGUGCUAUGCGUUGGAUGUUGUGGCUUGUAAGCCACAAAAUACUGGAUAUCUUCCAGUGCUUUUUUCUUUCUUUUUUUUUUUUGUAAUUUCGUCAUUUUGUUCAGGGCUCUUUCAGGUAGCUCUAUUAGGAUGUGACUAAAUAACUGAGGCUAGGUUUGUGUUUGGAGCUUUCUGCUAGCUAAAGCUAAAUCAUUAUUAUCAUACCAGCAAAGUAUUCCAAUUGUGUAGUUCAUAUCAUCAGAAGAGCAAGUUAAUUAGUGUAGUUACACAAAUAAUGAACUUUUUUGACAGCAUGCUUUGUUUGUCAAGGUGCUGCAGUAGCUGGAAUUUACAGAGUAGCAGGAAAGAAUAUGGCUCCCUUAGAAGCUCUCAUCUUUGGUGUUGGACAGACAGUACUGACAUUAAUUAUCUCAUUUUCAAGGAUUCUUGCAACACUCUGAGGUUUAUGUAAAAAGAAUUUCAACUAGCCUAAAGAAAUCUCUGAUCUGAAGAGAAGCUUCCUGGAAGUGGAUUCAGCAGCUUAUGAACUUGAAUGCUAGUGCAAGAGAAAGGAAGCGAUGUGGAACAUGCAGUACAAAUCUGGAGGUUCAGUCGAAUGAACAGACUGUCCUCUAGUGUCUGAACUCUUGUACUUCUGCACUGUGCCUUAUGUGCCUCAGUCAUAGGCAAGGUGCGGUCCCUGUGUGCAAAGCUGAGAUAAAGCACCUUGAGUAGCUGCCAGUCAGGCUAAUGCUUGGUGAUAGGAUCGUUGUUCUUAUCAGUGUUUUAAUAAAACUAAAGGGACACUCCUGAAAGUUGCUGUA